GAGCGAGUGUCGCAAUGGAUAAUGCAUCUGACUACGGCUCAGAAGAUUCUAGGUUCGACUCCUGGCUAGCUCG